rnacentral:rRNA from 1 species
UACGAAGGGUGCAAGCGUUACUCGGAAUUACUGGGCGUAAAGCGUGCGUAGGCGGUUUGUUAAGUCCGCUGUGAAAGCCCUGGGCUCAACCUGGGAAUUGCAGUGGAUACUGGCAAGCUAGAGUGCGGUAGAGGAUGGUGGAAUUCCCGGUGUAGCGGUGAAAUGCGUAGAGAUCGGGAAGAACGACCCGUGGCGCAAGGCGGCAGCUCGUCGGAACGCAACUGA